GUACGAGAGUAACUGCUCGUACCUUGACGGUACCUUAUUAGAAAGCCACGGCUAACUACGUGCCAGCAGCCGCGGUAAUACGUAGGUGGCAAGCGUUGUCCGGAAUUAUUGGGCGUAAAGCGCGCGCAGGCGGUUCUUUAAGUCUGAUGUGAAAGCCCACGGCUCAACCGUGGAGGGUCAUUGGAAACUGGAGAACUUGAG
rnacentral:rRNA from 1 species